GUUUUGCUUCUCAGUGUGGAAGGAUGAAAGAUGUGUUUUGAAAAUGCCACGUGACUACCGUCCUCCUCCCUCCCGGAUCAGUCCGCAUGUUCAUGGCGCCAGCAUUUGUUAUGGAAUAUAUUGAGCAAACCUGGAGAUAUUAUUGUUGUCAUUGCUGUGGAUCUUUACUGACUUGGCUCGGGACCAGCACUCCUGCUGUUGGACAGAAAGACAUCAACUUGAGAUAUGACUGCAC